UACAGAGGGUGCAAGCGUUAAUCGGAAUUACUGGGCGUAAAGCGUGCGUAGACGGUUAUGUAAGUUAGGUGUGAAAGCCCCGGGCUCAACCUGGGAAUUGCAUUUAAGACUGCAUAGCUAGGGUGCGGAAGAGGGAAGCGGAAUUUCCGGUGUAGCGGUGAAAUGCGUAGAUAUCGGAAGGAACACCAGUGGCGAAAACGGCUUCCUGGUCCAGCACCGACGUCAGGCACGAAAGCGUGGGGAGCAAACAGG
rnacentral:rRNA from 1 species